rnacentral:rRNA from 1 species
GCAGAGCACUCCUACGGGAGGCAGCAGUGGGAAUAUUGCACAAUGGGGGAAACCCUGAUGCAGCCAUGCCGCGUGUGUGAAGAAGGCCUUCGGGUUGUAAAGCACUUUCAGUAGGGAUGAAGGUAGUGUAGUUAACACCUGCAUUAUUUGACGUUACCUACAGAAGAAGCACCGGCUAACUCCGUGCCAGCAGCCGCGGUAAUACGGAGGGUGCGAGCGUUAAUCGGAAUUACUGGGCGUAAAGCGCAUGCAGGCGGCCUGUUAAGUCAGAUGUGAAAGCCCCGGGGCUUAACCUCGGAAUUGCAUUUGAAACUGGCAGGCUAGAGUCUUGUAGAGGGGGUAGAAUUUCAGGUGUAGCGGUGAAAUGCGUAGAGAUCUGAAGGAAUACCAGUGGCGAAGGCGGCCCCCUGGACAAAGACUGACGCUCAGAUGCGAAAGCGUGGGGAGCAAACAGGAUUAGAUACCCUGGUAG